AUACGUAGGGUGCAAGCGUUAAUCGGAAUUACUGGGCGUAAAGCGUGCGCAGGCGGUUUUGUAAGACAGAGGUGAAAUCCCCGGGCUCAACCUGGGAACUGCCUUUGUGACUGCAAGGCUAGAGUACGGCAGAGGGGGAUGGAAUUCCGCGUGUAGCAGUGAAAUGCGUAGAUAUGCGGGGGAACACCGAUGGCGAAGGCAAUCCCCUGGGCCUGUACUGACGCUCAUGCACGAAAGCGUGGGGAGCAAACAGUAUUAGAUACCCUGGUAGUCCACUCCCUAAACUAUGUCAACUGGUUGUUGGGUCUUCAUUGACUCAGUAACGAAGCUAACGCGUGAAGUUGACCGCCUGGGGAGUACGGCCGCAAGGUUGAAACUCAAAUGAAUUGACGGGG
rnacentral:rRNA from 1 species